rnacentral:rRNA from 1 species
UACGGGGGGAGCAAGCGUUGUUCGGAUUUACUGGGCGUAAAGGGCGCGUAGGCGGCGUGGUAAGUCACUUGUGAAAUCUCCGGGCUUAACUCGGAACGGUCAAGUGAUACUGCUGUGCUAGAGUGCGGAAGGGGCAACUGGAAUUCUCGGUGUAGCGGUGAAAUGCGUAGAUAUGCGGAGGAACACCGAUGGCGAAGGCAAUCCCCUGGGCCUGCACUGACGCUCAUGCACGAAAGCGUGGGGAGCAAACAGG